rnacentral:rRNA from 1 species
GACGAACGCUGGCGGCGUGCUUAAUACAUGCAAGUCGAGCGGGUGUAGCAAUACAUCAGCGGCGGACGGGUGAGUAACGCGUGGGCAAUCUGCCCUCUAGCCUGGGAUAACAGUUCGAAAGGACUGCUCACACCGGAUAUGCUCCCAGCCUGGCAUCAGGCAGAGAGGAAAGUUUACACUAGAGGAUGAGCCCGCUUCCCAUUAGCUAGUUGGGGAGGUAACGGCCCACCAAGGCGACGAUGGGUAGCCGACCUGAGAGGGUGAACGGCCACACUGGGACUGAGACACGGCCCAGACUCCUACGGGAGGCAGCAGUAGGGAAUUGUCCGCAAUGGACGAAAGUCUGACGGAGCAACGCCGCGUGAGGGAUGAAGGUUUUCGGAUCGUAAACCUCUGUCUUCAGGGACGAUAAUGACGGUACCUGAGGAGGAAGCCACGGCUAACUACGUGCCAGCCGCCGCGGUAA